rnacentral:rRNA from 1 species
CCUACGGGAGGCAGCAGUGGGGAAUAUUGCACAAUGGGGGAAACCCUGAUGCAGCGACGCCGCGUGAGUGAGGAAGUAUUUCGGUAUGUACAGCUCUAUCAGCAGGGACGAAAAUGACGGUACCUGACUAAGAAGCCCCGGCUAACUACGUGCCAGCAGCCGCGGUAAGACGUAGGGUGCAAGCGUUAUCCGGAUUUACUGGGUGUAGAGGGAGCGUUGACGGUUAAUCAAGUCAGAAGUGAAAACCCAGGGCUCAACCUUUGGACUGCUUUUGAAACUGAGUAGCUAGAGUGCAGUAGAGGUGAGCGGAAUUCCUAGGGUAGCGGUGAAAUGCGUAGAUAUGAGGAGGAACACCAGUGGCGAAGGCGGCUUACUGGACGGUAACUGACGUUGAGGCGCGAAAGCGUGGGGAGCAAACAGGAUUAGAUACCCGAGUAGUC